rnacentral:rRNA from 1 species
AUGAUAGAGCGCUUCCAGGGCGAAGAGAAGAUCUACCACAGUUUUGAUAUUGCAGAGGAUGACCCACAUGGCUACUAUGCCCCCGAGUUCCUGAACAACCUAACUCCCAACAGGCUGCCUCCGCAUGCGCUCAAACUGAAGUUAAAUUGCCCCGUUAUACUGUUGAGAAACAUUGAUCCAGCUAAUGGGUUGUGUAACGGCACAAGGCUUGUGGUCCGGGGUUUCCAAAGGAACGCCAUCGACGCAGAAAUCGUGCUAGGACAACAUGCUGGUAGGAGGGUGUUCCUUCCUCGGAUACCUCUCUGCCCAUCCGAUGACGAUAUAUUCCCUUUCAAGUUCAAGAGGAAGCAGUUCCCUAUUAGGCUCAGUUUUGCCAUGACAAUCAACAAGGCACAAGGGCAGACCAUCCCGAUUGUCGGGGUGUACCUACCAGACCCGAUAUUCUCUCACGGUCAGCUCUACGUCGCAUUGUCUAGAGCCACUGCGAAGAGGAACAUUAAGAUUCUCGCCAUCAAGGACAACGACAAUGGUAAGGGCAAGGGCAAGGGCAAGGGCAAGGAACAAAUCAAUAAUUCAAAUAAGCGAAAAAGAUCUGAGCCCUUAUUAACGACCAUGAAGAACAUAGUCUACAAGGAAGUCCUUAGCACAUGA